UACGGGGGGGGUAAGCGUUGUUCGGAAUUACUGGGCGUAAAGGGCUCGUAGGCGGCCAACUAAGUCAGACGUGAAAUCCCUCAGCUUAACUGGGGAACUGCGUCUGAUACUGGAUGGCUUGGAUUCGGGAGAGGAAUGCGGAAUUCCAGGUGUAGCGGUGAAAUGCGUAGAUAUCUGGAGGAACACCGGUGGCGAAGGCGGCAUUCUGGACCGACAUUGACGCUGAGGAGCGAAAGCCAGGGGAGCAAGCGGG
rnacentral:rRNA from 1 species